rnacentral:rRNA from 1 species
CAGCAGCCGCGGUAAUACGUAGGUGGCAAGCGUUGUCCGGAAUUACUGGGUGUAAAGGGAGCGUAGACGGUUAAACAAGUCUGAAGUGAAAUGCCGGGGCUCAACCCCGGAGCUGCUUUGGGAACUGUAGAACUGGAGUGUCGGAGGGGUAAGCGGAAUUCCCAGUGUAGCGGUGAAAUGCGUAGAUAUUGGGAGGAACACCGGCGGCGAAGGCGGCUUACUGGACGACAACUGACGUUGAGGCUCGAAGGCGUGGGUAGCAAACAGGAUUAGAUACCCCUGUAGUCCCUGUCUCUUAUAC